UUUUUUUUAUUAAAAUAAAAUGAAAUUUGCUUUGUGUUGUGUCCUUCUGACCCACAUGCACCUGUUUAUGUAAAGAAGACCAAUCCUGGAGCAGAAGUACCAUCUCUGGGUUUGUGCUUUUGGAGGAUUUUACAAGAUCCGACUGUGAUGUAACGCUGCAAGAACAUGCCGCUGUGUCAUAUGCAAGUUUUCAGAUCAUCAGGAAAAUGACUUUGUGAAUGCAGAAAUGUGUAAUUAUGAAGUUGGGGUCGCUGGUCACAGGGGCCCUUCCCCCCUUCUGGAUGCCUGUCACAGAGCAGCCAUGCUGGGCUUCAUCUGAAGGGAUGCACCAUGGUGUGAUCACACGUCUGUCCUACCCCAGACUCAAUGAAUCGCACGAAUGAAUGGACAUUACUGUGGCAAAGGGAAUUAGCUUGCUUGCAUAGGGACUUUGGAUUUGGGAAUACUGGAGCCGGUAGAGGAGCGUUGGAUUUUUUUUUGAAGAAGUGCAGCGGAUACUUCAAGGAGUGUUUUUGGAAGAUGUCUGAGAAGGGAGCCGAGGCGUCUACAUCUCAGCCCCCAAAGCGGAAGCAGGUGAUUCAUGGUCUGGAAGAUCAGAAAAAGCCAUUUCAGAUGUUUUCACCCCAUCAUCAGUCGUUUAUGUGAGCUCCCUCCACCAUGUAAUCUACAGAGAAUGAGGUGGAAUGAAUCACUGAAUGAUUUUCCUGUCACCCAUUGGCCUCUGUUCUACCUGAGAGACGUGCAGCAUUCUAAUGCACCUCUGCUGAGGUUGGAGAGUGUGUGUAUUUGUGUGAAUGUGAAUGAGUGGGAACCUUGAGAGGUCGUACCUGAGGGCCAGAUACUCAUGUUGCAGACGGGCUUGAAAAGCACUCAUUGAUUCCUGUGUCUAGAGUGAGGCAUUUAUGGGUAAAUCCAUUCAAAUCCUUCUGUUAAAAGCUGUUCCACCAGUGCUAUUGUCCAAGAAUAGAAACAUAGAGCAGACAUGGGACUUAAAACAUACAUUAGAUGUUGCAAAUACAUAUGGAUAUGUUAAAAGAAUAGUUCACCUAAAAAUUCUGAUUUUGUCAUUAUUUACUCUGCUUCAUGUCCCUCCAAACCUUUGUUUUUUUUUCUUCUGCAGAGCACAAAAGAAGAUAUUGCAGAAUGCCCAAAAGUAUUUGCUUUUAUAAUGAAAAGAAAAUAAUAAAAAAAAGAAAGAAAGAAAAUUGGUUUGUGGA
ensembl:lncRNA